rnacentral:sRNA from 1 species
UCUGUGUGAAGUGCAAACGUUAAACUAUCUUGUCAUCAUGAAGACACCUCCAAUCUUGCCAACUAUUGUCUGUCCACAAUGACUUGGCCAUUGUUCUUAAGGCUCCCACCUAAAGGUUCACAGACAAAAGUCUGCCAAGUAUUUUCUUCAUUGACGGUUGUCUUUCCUUAGCCUCAUCCUACUGGAAAAGAGUCUAAGAGUAGUUAGAUACUGUAGUUUCUUAUGGUUGGGGGUCACCACAACAUGAGCUCUUUAUAUUAAAGAGUCGCAGCAUUAACACUGGUACCUCAAGGUUGAGGUCUCUCCACCAAGGGCAACUCUGUUCCAGUCACCCAGGCUAAUACCCAGCCCAAACCGCUGCCACUGGUCAAGUUCAGUCCAGCACAGACCCUUGAGUCACCGGUGGUCAGUCAGAUGACCUUGGCUCCUGCGCGGGCCUGUGUUUCCGGAGCUUCACCGCAGCACUGCUGGCCCGGCGCUGUGAAUGCGGGCUCGUGAGCGCGCACUGCCCCACCAGCCCACAGCGCCCGCCCGUGGGCCGCGUUCGCUCAGGGUGCGCUCGGGCCAGUCCCGCCUCUCCUAGUUUUCGCUUUCGCUUUUUAUAGCUUCUCUGAAGAGAAACAAAGCGGCAGCUACGACGGCUACGACGGCCACGACCGGUAAUGGUGUUGGAGGGAAGGACAGGGGAACUCCGCAGCCUGGACCCCAGGCCCACAGGAGAGGUGGCAGCAUGCCCCGGCCCUCCUGCUGAUGUCAGGAGGCUGGACAGCCAAGAAGGAAGAAAAUGGACUCCCUCCUUCUGAAGACUCGCCAGCUGCCAUGCAAUGGUGGACAGCACCUCAAGCUCACCCCACAAUGCACCUCUGUGGAGACACCAUCAGUGCCACACUCCUUGUUCUGCCACAGCUGUGACCAACAAUAAGAGACAGAGACAACUACAGAAAGUGAGGAAGGACAAUCUGUGACAACUUACGUCAUCGGUGGUGUGAGAAUGGGGGCCGGAAGAAGCCAUAGUUCUAUGUUGGGGUUUGGUCAGGUCACUUUUGCCAUUCAGCGAGCAUGGACCGUGUGCCAAAAACUGCUAGACGCAAAACAGCUGUGAAGGUCUAGACUUGUCCCUACCUGCCAGAGCACCCAGACACUUCAAGCAGACUGGCCGACGGCGCCAUGAUCCCUGAUUUUACCUACUGUGGUGAACACAUCAACUGCCAGACAUCAUUGGUGCCCUCUGGGGGUUCACCUCUGAAUGCACCCCACAUGUCUUGGGGUGCUAGAUGCAACCGUGGAGGGAGAAUAAAAGCAGCUUUCUAGGGAUGGAAUCCUGAGUCUGCCACGAACCCACUGGGUGACCAUGGGUGAGUUCCUUAACACUUCUGAGUGUCAGUUCUCAGUGAAAUCAAGUUAACAGUCUACACCUCAGAGGCAUAUGAAAAUGGGACAGAAUCACCUCACUGAGGAAUCUGAAGGGAGUAGGCUGCUGUUGACGGUUGUGUCUGUGAAGUGUCUGGUGACUGAGUUGGGAGGAGGGCACCUUUGUGGACAGACCUGAGGCGAACAGUCAGAGACAGCUAUUGUUAUACACAUUUUGGGGGGAAGCAGAGGUCAGUGCAGGCCAGCAGGCUGCACCAGCUUUGGCGAUGCCAGGCUUUGUUCUUCAAGGAAGGGUAGGGCUGGGAGCAGGGCAGGCUGCAGUGCAAGCCAAGGCCAAGAGGCAGAGACUCCCAGACUGUGUCUGGGAGAUGCAAGCCAAGGAACAGACGUCAACAUCAAACGCAUCAAGGCCCGAGGGAGGAGCUUUGCCCUUUUCUCUGGUCUCGGAUGAGUCCCUGGUGGAAGCUGAGCUGGGGGCGCCUUGGGACGGACCAAAGCAAAUGCUGCAAAAAGCUUCGAAGGAUCCAACGUCUUAUCGAGGCCUGGACCAAAGCCAAGGCCAGAGCUAGGGCCCAUACCAGGGCAGAACCCAGUUCACAGAACUCAAGUCCAGUUAGGACCUCCCAGAAGGAAAUUCCUGCCCUGACUGUGACCCCAUGUUGGGAACAGGGUCAAUAGGCAUUUGUUUUGAUCGCUCCAGAAAAAGUUAAUCCAACAAAUACAGAGAACCCGUCACCCAGAGGUGAUGUGAUGGCCACUACUGUCAUGCUGCAUUUCCAUAGCUGAUGCCAUCCCUGGGCCAUCUGGUAUCCCUUAAGACUACAGCUGACUGAGCAGUUCCAAGUCCCUCCUUUACCCUGUGAAAUGUCAUGUGUUUUCUCAGGAAGUGUUGAUUUUAAUGCAGAACUCUAGAAAACAGUAUUUUCUUUUUUAUUUAAGAAUUUUAUAUGCAAGUUGACUGUACCUUCAUCCUUUUAACCCUCCGUGCCUCUCUCCAAUUCCUUUGCAGCCCCCUCUCCCUUCCAGAAUACACGAGCUACAUACAGUGAAUGUAUGACCCCUUAUGACCACUUGUUCCUAAAGACUCCCCUCCCCUCCACUGACUGUAUGUGAGUGAUGCCUGGUGUGGCCUUUGCAGGCAGGCCUUGUGCAGGCACCCAUGUUGUGGAGAGUUCAUGCAUGCACAGAAAACGUUCCUUAAAAGGAGGAAGGGGCUAAAAAAGAACCAGGCUUAGAAGCACACACUAGCAAUCCCAUCAUUCAGAAGGCGGAGGCAGGAGGACUACUGUGAAUUCAAAGUCAGUUCUGAGGAAUAUAGUGAGACCCUAUUAGGAGGUUGGUAAAUAAACAAGUAUAGUGCAGAGCUCUAGCCAGCAGGACAUCCUGUGGGGACAAGGGUGGCUCUCGCAUCCGCAUCCUGUGUGAGCUGCAGAGGUGGGGUGCCUCGGCCAGGUCCCACUCUCAUGGACUGGCGACAGCUUCCUGCCUAGGGUAAGAAGAGCUUUCGAUGACUUUGCACUUGCCCUUCCUUCCCCUCAGGAUGCACUGAUCACCCCCCACACACACACACACCAGAAGGCAGGUGGACUAUCAGCAGUCGGAUCUGCCCGGAUCCUUGUUUCUCUCACAGACCCCACAAGUUCUGUGAGCCUCUGAGACAGGCACUGUUCUCCACAUAGUUCAGUUGGCUUUCUGCUGUGAUAAAACACUGACCACAACCUAGGGAGGAAAGGUUCUCUUUGGCUUGCAGGUUACAGCCAUCAGUCAGGGGAGGUCAGACCAGGACGUGAAGCAGAGGCAGGAACACUGCUUAUUGGCUACCAUUCUGAGCCUGGCUCUCCUUGUUGGCCCUGACCCCAGGCCAGUCUGACGAUGGCACUAAUCACAAUGUGCGUUCUCUCUUCCUAGGUGUGUCAGGUUGACAGCCAGGAUCAACCAUCGCUUCUGCCUCACGAAUGAAGAUUCUGAGGCUGCCAGCAGGGCCAGUAGGCUGGGUGAGGCCGCACAGCUAGUUAGAAGACUUCAUGCAGAUCCGGUUGGUAUCUAGGUGACUUCCUUUAUGUGCCUUCCUUGAGCCAAAAUGGAUCCCCCUAGGGAAGACAGCUAAGCACUGGAGACAAUUUAUUACCAGUUAAGUGUGGCCACAAGCUGUAUCCUGGGAGUUCUUAGCCAGGUUAUAGGUGUGUCUGUCUGUCUAUCUGUCUGUCUGUUUGUCUGUCUGUCUGCCUGCCUGCCUGCCUGCCUGCCUGUCUGUCCUAAGGGCCUCAGUUUACGGGUGCUCACCCAAAGACAAUGAAGAGCCAGGACUUCCAGUCACUGAGGGCUUGGUCAGGGAGGCCAAGAGACGGUGGUUUCCUAUAGGCGUGUCCUUCAGAGGUGCUGUUUCAUGAUAUCCUUCUUGGCCUAUCUCAGGCUUCGAUUUUCCCAGAUGGGAUGGGGUGUUUUACUAAGUCUCUGCAUCCCCGAGCACCCUGGACCCCAGUACGGAGAUACGCAGGAUCUUCUCCCUGGCCAUCUCAGGGUUCAUUUGAGAGGUAACGUGUUUGUCCUGUGAUUCUGACUCCAGCCAAGGUCUGGGUCCUAGUACAGCCACAACCUCCCUUCUAGAAGCUUCUGAGUGUCAGUUUCCUGUUACCACUGUAAGAGAUGUCCUCCUUGCACUCCGUGGCCUAGAUUAGCACACAGUUAUGAUUCUGAGGGUCCAAUGUACAAAACAGGUCUCCCAGGGCUAUCCUGAGGGUGUAGAGCAAACGUGGGGCUCUAGGAAGCAGCCCCUGGGCAAGGCAACACACACCUGUAAUCCCAGCCCUCAAAAGACUGAGGCGAGAUUUUCUAAGGUUGAAGGCCAGGCUGGUCUAUAUAUGGAAGAAUGAGUUCCUGCCUCAAAAAAAAAUUUUUUUAAAUCCCCUUCAUGGUCCAAUUUUAAAAGGCUUCCUCCAUUCCUUAGUUCCGUGGUGCCGUCUUCUAGCUUCAAAACCAGCAACAGAUGGUCCUUUUACUUAAUGUCGUGUCUCUGAUUCUAUCACUCUUAUCUCCUCUUUCCCACUUAGAAGAACCCUUGUAAGCAGCUGAGUAUAGUGAUGUAUGCCUUUAAUCCCAGCACUCAGGAGUCAGAGGCAGGGGGAUUUCUGUAAGUUCGAGGCCAGCCCUGUCUACAGAGUGAGUUUUAGGACAUCCAGAGCCACCUAGUGAGACCCUGUCUCGAUAAACAAACAAAUAAAUGGAACUUCAAACCUUUAAGUUUUGAGAUAGGGUGCUGUACGUCAGCUCACACUGCCUUCAACUCACCGUGUAGCCUAGCAGAUCUCGACCUUAAGAUACCGCAGAGCAGGGUGAAUGCAGACUUUCAAUGGGUAAAGGCACUUAAGCCUGAUGACCUGAGUUCUAGGCCCCAGGACCCACAUAGUGGGAGGUGAGAAACAACACCAAAGUUGUCCUUUGAUGCCUACACACAUGCAGUGGCACAGCUCCCCACCCCACCCCCAACAAAAAUAAUUUAAAUGUUUUUUUCUAACAUCCUCUUGAGCCUUUAGUCUCUUGAAUAAUUGAGUUUACAGGCCCAUACUUCCAGACCUAGACGCCUCUCUAUUUCAAAUUAAACUGAUUAGCAAACCCCAUCCCUUGUUGCCACAGAACAUAGCGAAGUCAUGGGUUCUGUGCAUUAGAAUGUGGGUAUCUUUACUCCACCAUGGACUGUUACUCUGCCUACCACAUUCAGCCACUCCUCCAGGUUUUCCAAACAUCUCAAGCACAGACAGUGGACCAGGCCAGACCACAGGUGGGAUAUGCCUGUCAUUGUGUAGUCCCUCCCCCCUGCUUCCUCCUCCUUUAGCUCAGCCUGUCCUGGGCUCCUCUCCCAUCCUCCUGUUCCCAGUUCUUGGAAGGGAGAGUGUAGGGCUGGACAAUGGGAAAAGGAGUGUGCAGAUUGGGGAGAGGAAGGCAGGGUCAGAUGUACCCCAGCUGUGGGAGCCCAGAGGGCUUGGCCUUUCCUACCAAAUACCUGUACUUUGCAGAGGUGCCCGCCAGUGCCUUGCCCGAGUUCUGCAGAAUCUGAAGGCAGCUCUGGCCUGAUAGAGCAGCAGGAAGAUAUUAGAGGCUCCAUUGUAUAUCCCUGACUUCCAUGAUAACCAGAAUCUCCUGAGCCCUUUCUCAGGGGAUGACAGCCUGUUUGCCUUCAUUCCUUCCUCUUCUGUCCUUUGAGUCAUAGGCUGAGCUGGAUAUCCUAGCUAGGCCUCUGUUGGCCCCUUAGUGGGAGAGAGCAGAGGCAAGAAAGGCUAGAUGAGGCCUUACCCUCAAGGAGGGUAAGGAGAUGGCCCUAGGACCUUCUCUGAUGAACUGGAAAUCUCAAAUCCCAGGGACCAGCUCUCCAUUUCUGAGUAAACUGAGACCCUUAGUGUCCUGUCUCUUUUGCACCCCCAAGUCUGCUUCAGUCACGUCUGCUUCCUGUAUGACCAGCCCUUUGGAGCCGAGAAUGCUAGAAAGAUGAGGUUGGGAGUGAGGUAUCUUCCACCUGUGCCUGAAUGGCACAGCAGUCUUGGCUGCACGCAUGAGCGAAUGACACAAUGUGCUUGCAUCAGAACUUCUGAAAGUGUAACGCCCUGGUCACUUCCGGGUGCUGUUCUGCAGAUGCCUUUAAUAAAUGUUUUUAUUUCCUCAUA